CUGGUCACUUGCGGUGGAACACGACGGAGGAUGGUGUGGGGAAGGAAUCUGUAUUAUGUGUGCCUGGCUCACUUCGCUGGACAGGAGGAACGGGCAGAACACAGUAAAUCAACUAUGAUUGGGGAAAAAAAAUCAUGAAAGCGUCUGUGUGUGUGUGUUUACAAAGUAUUAUGAUACACUAUAGAAAAAUAACUGACUUGUUUUGGAAAUAUGUAGCAAAGUGAAAGAAACAUCCCUAUAAAUCUCUGAGGAGAAUCACUGUUAAAAAUCCAAGAAAAAAUGUGUGUCCACCAACCUUCAGCAUACACUUCGGUACUUCCCUCCCUCCCUCUCCCUCCCUCCCUCUCUGCCCCCCCUUCUCUCUCUAACCAAACGGAUCUUAUUAUUCAUAUUUUACAGCUUGUAUUGUCGGUGCCUCCUGGACUGAAUCUGCUGGAUCUGUCCCUCCAUGUUGUGCAGCCAUGAUGUUUCUGCUCAGGUGCUUUUUCUUUUAAUUCUUGUUUCAUUUUCAGACCUGACUCCUUGGGGGUUGCCCCUGCACCUGCAGGGUUUAGUGAUCCGCCAGUGAUUGGUUAAAGGUCCUGCUCACACCCCUGGAGCCAACUAGGCUCCAAUCUCUGCUCGGCGAUCUGUGUGGGGUUAAGAACACCCAGUUCAGGGCUCCCCCCAACUGUGACUUUCCGCUGGGCCCUUCUGCAUGUUCCCGAUGCUGUUUCAGCGUCCCCGGCCACCUGGGCUGUGCAGGGAGCUUGGGACGCCUCUGCUCUUGUCUGCAAGUUGGUCAGCACAUGGAGUUCCUGAGCCAGGGAUCAGAUCCGAGCUGCGGUUGCAGCUUACACCGCAGCUGCGUCAACUCAAGAUCUUCAACCCACUAUGCCGGGCCGGGGGAUCGAACCUGUGGUCCUGGCACUGCAGAGAUGCCACUGAUCCCGUCGCGUCAUAGUGGAAACUCCUUACCUUGAUUCUUUGAUAGAUGAAAGCUCUCGGCUAUUUUCAGUUUUCCUUCCCUGUAAGUCACCCACUCUCCCUACUGGCUGGCAUCUGAGGUCGCCCCGCUACGCAGAGCUGGUUACCCAACCUCUGGCGACGACAGACAGGCCCAGAGCCUCUGGAGUUCAUCUGUACCACUGACAAGCCCAGGAUUUAUUUCCCUUUGCUCUAAUAAAGCUUGUUUCCUUCCUCAA